rnacentral:sRNA from 1 species
CAGGAGUGUGGGCACAGGGUGUGCUCGUGAGGGGCUCUUCUGCCCCACUUGAGGCGUCACCCCCAUCUGCAGGCCUGUCUUCCUUCGGGAGCAUGGAUGGGCGAGGUCCCCGGUGCUUCCUAACAUGUAGGUGCCUUCUCUCCUCAGUCGUCACCCCUCCAAAAACAGUCCUGGAUGACCACACGCAGACCCUCUUUCAGGCGAACCUCUUCCCGGCCGCUCUGGUGCACUUCGGAGCCGAGGAGCCGGCAGGUGUCUACCUGGAGCCUGGCCUGCUGGAGCAUGCCAUCUCCCCAUCUGCGGCCGACGUGCUGGUGGCCAGGUAAGUGCCGGUGGGUCUGGGGGCACCUCCCGUGGCGGCACUCACCACUCUGUGUCUUCGCCUCCCCACAGGUACAUGUCCAGGGCCGCCGGGUCCCCUUCCCCAUUGCCAGCCCCUGACCCUGCACCUAAGUCUGAGCCAGCUGCUGAGGAGGGGGCGCUGGUCCCCCCUGAGCCCAUCCCAGGGACGGCCCAGCCCGUGAAGAGGAGCCUGGGCAAGGUGCCCAAGUGGCUGAAGCUGCCGGCCAGCAAGAGGUGAGAGCUGCCAGCCUGAGGUGCCCACUCCGCCAGCCACAGGACCACCUCCUCUGCCAGCAGGAAUAAAGACUUGUGCAUCCCU